rnacentral:rRNA from 1 species
GACGAACGCUGGCGGCGUGCUUAACACAUGCAAGUCGAGCGGUAAGGCCCUUUCGGGGGUACACGAGCGGCGAACGGGUGAGUAACACGUGGGUGACCUGCCCUCAGCUCUGGGAUAAGCCUGGGAAACCGGGUCUAAUACUGGAUAUGACUCCAUGACGCAUGUUGUGGGGUGGAAAGCCUUGCGCGGCUGAGGAUGGGCCCGCGGCCUAUCAGCUUGUUGGUGGGGUGAGGCCUACCAAGGCGACGACGGGUAGCCGGCCUGAGAGGGCGACCGGCCACACUGGGACUGAGACACGGCCCAGACUCCUACGGGAGGCAGCAGUGGGGAAUCUUGCGCAAUGGGCGAAAGCCUGACGCAGCGACGCCGCGUGAGGGAUGACGGCCU